rnacentral:rRNA from 1 species
CGUGGCGGACGGGUGAGUAACGCAUGAGUAACCUGCCUUUCAGAGGGGAAUAACGUUCUGAAAAGAACGCUAAUACCGCAUAACGUACAGUUACCGCAUGGUAGCAGUACCAAAGGAGCAAUCCGCUGAAAGAUGGACUCGCGUCCGAUUAGCUAGUUGGUGGGGUAAAGGCCUACCAAGGCGACGAUCGGUAGCCGGACUGAGAGGUUGAACGGCCACAUUGGGACUGAGACACGGCCCAG